AUUAAUCUAGUUUAAACAAAACAAGAGCUUGUCGAGCUCUAAAUACAACUGAAUUGUGGUUAAUG
rnacentral:tRNA from 1 species